rnacentral:rRNA from 1 species
GACGAAGGGGGCUAGCGUUGUUCGGAAUUACUGGGCGUAAAGCGCGUGUAGGCGGUUGUCCAAGUUGGAUGUGAAAGCCUUGAGCUUAACUCAAGAAAUGCAUUCAGGACUGGAUGACUAGAGGACCGGAGAGGAUAGUGGAAUUUCCAGUGUAGUGGUGAAAUACGUAGAGAUUGGGAAGAACACCAGUGGCGAAGGCGGCUAUCUGGACGGUUUCUGACGCUAAGACGCGAAAGCGUGGGGAGCAAACAGG